AUUGAACGCUGGCGGCAUGCUUUACACAUGCAAGUCGAACGGCAGCGCGGGCUUCGGCCUGGCGGCGAGUGGCGAACGGGUGAGUAAUGCAUCGGAACGUGCCCAGUAGUGGGGGAUAGCCCGGCGAAAGCCGGAUUAAUACCGCAUACGACCUGAGGGUGAAAGCGGGGGACCGAAAGGCCUCGCGCUAUUGGAGCGGCCGAUGUCGGAUUAGCUAGUUGGUGGGGUAAAGGCUUACCAAGGCGACGAUCCGUAGCUGGUCUGAGAGGACGACCAGCCAAACUGGGACUGAGACAAGGCCCAGAAUCCUACGGGAGGCAGCAGUGGGGAAUUUUGGACAAUGGGGGCAACCCUGAUCCAGCCAAGCCGCGUGCGGGAAAAAGGCCUUCGGGUUGUAAAACGCUUUUGUUCGGGAAGAAAUCCUCUGGGCUAAUACCCCGGGGGGAUGACGGUACCGGAAGAAUAAGCACCGGCUAACUACGUG
rnacentral:rRNA from 1 species